rnacentral:rRNA from 1 species
ACUCCUACGGGAGGCAGCAGUAGGGGAAUCUUCCACAAUGGGCGCAAGCCUGAUGGAGCAACACCGCGUGAGUGAAGAAGGGUUUCGGCUCGUAAAGCUCUGUUGUUAAAGAAGAACACGUAUGAGAGUAACUGUUCAUACGUUGACGGUAUUUAACCAGAAAGUCACGGCUAACUACGUGCCAGCAGCCGCGGUAAUACGUAGGUGGCAAGCGUUAUCCGGAUUUAUUGGGCGUAAAGAGAGUGCAGGCGGUUUUCUAAGUCUGAUGUGAAAGCCUUCGGCUUAACCGGAGAAGUGCAUCGGAAACUGGAUAACUUGAGUGCAGAAGAGGGUAGUGGAACUCCAUGUGUAGCGGUGGAAUGCGUAGAUAUAUGGAAGAACACCAGUGGCGAAGGCGGCUACCUGGUCUGCAACUGACGCUGAGACUCGAAAGCAUGGGUAGCGAACAGGAUUAGAUACCCUGGUAGGAUAGCG